rnacentral:rRNA from 1 species
AGUUGCGAACGGGUGAGUAACGCGUAGGUAACCUGCCUGGUAGCGGGGGAUAACUAUUGGAAACGAUAGCUAAUACCGCAUAAUAUUGAUUAUUGCAUGAUAAUUGAUUGAAAGAUGCAACUGCAUCACUACCAGAUGGACCUGCGUUGUAUUAGCUAGUAGGUGAGGUAACGGCUCACCUAGGCGACGAUACAUAGCCGACCUGAGAGGGUGAUCGGCCACACUGGGACUGAGACACGGCCCAGACUCCUACGGGAGGCAGCAGUAGGGAAUCUUCGGCAAUGGACGAAAGUCUGACCGAGCAACGCCGCGUGAGUGAAGAAGGUUUUCGGAUCGUAAAGCUCUGUUGUAAGAGAAGAACGGGUGUGAGAGUGGAAAGUUCACACUGUGACGGUAUCUUACCAGAAAGGGACGGCUAACUACGUGCCAGCAGCCGCGGUAAUACGUAGGUCCCGAGCGUUGUCCGGAUUUAUUGGGCGUAAAGCGAGCGCAGGCGGUUAGAUAAGUCUGAAGUUAAAGGCUGUGGCUUAACCAUAGUACGCUUUGGAAACUGUUUAACUUGAGUGCAGAAGGGGAGAGUGGAAUUCCAUGUGUAGCGGUGAAAUGCGUAGAUAUAUGGAGGAACACCGGUGGCGAAAGCGGCUCUCUGGUCUGUAACUGACGCUGAGGCUCGAAAGCGUGGGGAGCGAACAGGAUUAGA